UACGUAGGUGACAAGCGUUGUCCGGAUUUACUGGGCGUAAAGAGCGCGCAGGCGGUCGUUCAAGUCGAGUGUGAAAGCCCCCGGCUCAACUGGGGAGGGUCAUUCGAUACUGAUCGACUCGAAGGCAGGAGAGGGUAGUGGAAUUCCCGGUGUAGUGGUGAAAUGCGUAGAUAUCGGGAGGAACACCAGUGGCGAAGGCGACUACCUGGCCUGUUCUUGACGCUGAGGCGCGAAAGCUAGGGUAGCAAACAGG
rnacentral:rRNA from 1 species